rnacentral:lncRNA from 1 species
CUGGCCACUGCCACAAACACAACCCACCACCGUCACCACUCCACUUCGUCCUCUCCUCCUCCCUCCUUCGCUUCUCCGACGCCUGCAGCGCAGCGCACAAAUACCACCACAGGUUGCUUCUCGGCUGCCGGCGCAUUUCCUCCUUCUCCCCUAACCUCCCUGCACCCGUCCUGCAGCAGCGGAGCCUCGACAUGGAUGCGCCCGCGCCCGGCUAUGGCCUCGGACUCGGAGUCGGAGGGAGCAAGCAGGGCGCCGACGAGGAGGACGCCGCCGCAGAGGAAAGGUAACUUCUUUUGGAAUUCUAUUGACUCCUUCAAUCUGCUCCGAGCCGCAUGAGGCAGAUCGGGAAGGAUCGAAGCACCACGCUUGGCUGCUUGCUUGCGUUGGACUUGGACAUGGCGCCGCCGUCGGCCCGCCCCGGCAGCCACCCUUGUGGCUGUGGUGGCGCGGGCGCGGGAUGAACGUCCCUCACGAAUCUUUCCACGCGCACGGGCGCCGACCUCUCUCUCACUUUCUCUCCUCCUAGUGAUCGAUUUUGUUCUACCCGUGUGUCUGCAGGUUUGAUCCGGCCAACUUUCUGGUCGACUAUGAGGAGGAUGAGAUCCUUGGGGAUCCUAACGAGGAGCAACCG